rnacentral:rRNA from 1 species
GAUGAACGCUGGCGGCGUGCCUAAUACAUGCAAGUCGAGCGAACAGAUGAGGAGCUUGCUCCUCUGACGUUAGCGGCGGACGGGUGAGUAACACGUGGAUAACCUACCUAUAAGACUGGGAUAACUUCGGGAAACCGGAGCUAAUACCGGAUAAUAUAUUGAACCGCAUGGUUCAAUAGUGAAUGACGGUUUUGCUGUCUCUUAUAGAUGGAUCCGCGCCGCAUUAGCUAGUUGGUAAGGUAACGGCUUACCAAGGCAACGAUGCGUAGCCGACCUGAGAGGGUGAUCGGCCACACUGGAACUUAGACACGGUCAAGACUCCUACGGGAGGCAGCAGUAGGGAAUCUUCCGCAAUGGGCGAAAGCCUGACGGAGCAACGCCGCGUGAGUGAUGAAGGUCUUCGGAUCGUAAAACUCUGUUAUUAGGGAAGAACAAAUGUGUAAGUAACUAUGCACGUAUUGACGGUACCUAAUCAGAAAGCCACGGCUAACUACGUG